rnacentral:tRNA from 1 species
UUAAUUGAAACCAAAUAGAGGUAUAUCACUGUUAAUGAUAAAAAUGAGACCACUCCAAUUAAU